UACAGAGGUCCCAAGCGUUGUUCGGAUUUACUGGGCGUAAAGGGUGCGUAGGCGGCGCGGUAAGUCGGGUGUGAAAUCUUGGAGCUUAACUCCGAAACUGCAUUCGAUACUGCCGUGCUUGAGGACUGGAGAGGAGACUGGAAUUUACGGUGUAGCGGUGAAAUGCGUAGAUAUCGUAAGGAAGACCAGUGGCGGAAGGCGGGUCUCUGGACAGUUCCUGACGCUGAGGCACGAAGGCCAGGGGAGCAAACGGG
rnacentral:rRNA from 1 species